rnacentral:rRNA from 1 species
UGGGGGAUAUUGCGCAAUGGGGGAAACCCUGACGCAGCAACGCCGCGUGAAGGAUGAAGGUCUUCGGAUUGUAAACUUCUUUUAUUAAGGACGAAGAAUGACGGUACUUAAUGAAUAAGCUCCGGCUAACUACGUGCCAGCAGCCGCGGUAAUACGUAGGGAGCAAGCGUUGUCCGGAUUUACUGGGUGUAAAGGGUGCGUAGGCGGCAAAGCAAGUCAGAUGUGAAAUGUAUGGGCUCAACCCAUGAACUGCAUUUGAAACUGCAUUGCUUGAGUGAAGUAGAGGCAGGCGGAAUUCCCUGUGUAGCGUGAAAUGCGUAGA